rnacentral:rRNA from 1 species
AGUGAACGCUGGCGGUGGGCCUAACACAUGCAAGUCGAACGGCAGCACAGUAAGAGCUUGCUCUUACGGGUGGCGAGUGGCGGACGGGUGAGGAAUACAUCGGAGUCUACUUUUUCGUGGGGGAUAACGUAGGGAAACUUACGCUAAUACCGCAUACGACCUACGGGUGAAAGCAGGGGAUCUUCGGACCUUGCGCGAUUGAAUGAGCCGAUGUCGGAUUAGCUAGUUGGCGGGGUAAAGGCCCACCAAGGCGACGAUCCGUAGCUGGUCUGAGAGGAUGAUCAGCCACACUGGAACUGAGACACGGUCCAGACUCCUACGGGAGGCAGCAGUGGGGAAUAUUGGACAAUGGGCGCAAGCCUGAUCCAGCCAUACCGCGUGGGUGAAGAAGGCCUUCGGGUUGUAAAGCCCUUUUGUUGGGAAAGAAAAGCAGCAGGUUAAUACCCCGCUGUUCUGACGGUACCCAAAGAAUAAGCACCGGCUAACUUCGUG